rnacentral:rRNA from 1 species
CCUACGGGGAGCAGCAGUAGGGAAUCUUCCACAAUGGGCGCAAGCCUGAUGGAGCAACACCGCGUGAGUGAAGAAGGGUUUCGGCUCGUAAAGCUCUGUUGUUGGAGAAGAACGUGCGUGAGAGUAACUGUUCACGCAGUGACGGUAUCCAACCAGAAAGUCACGGCUAACUACGUGCCAGCAGCCGCGGUAAUACGUAGGUGGCAAGCGUUAUCCGGAUUUAUUGGGCGUAAAGCGAGCGCAGGCGGUUGCUUAGGUCUGAUGUGAAAGCCUUCGGCUUAACCGAAGAAGUGCAUCGGAAACCGGGCAACUUGAGUGCAGAAGAGGACAGUGGAACUCCAUGUGUAGCGGUGGAAUGCGUAGAUAUAUGGAAGAACACCAGUGGCGAAGGCGGCUGUCUGGUCUGCAACUGACGCUGAGGCUCGAAAGCAUGGGUAGCGAACAGGAUUAGAUACCCGGGUAGUC